rnacentral:rRNA from 1 species
GCGCAGCCUGAUCUAGCCAUGCCGCGUGUGUGAUGAAGGUCUUAGGAUCGUAAAGCACUUUCGCCAGGGAUGAUAAUGACAGUACCUGGUAAAGAAACCCCGGCUAACUCCGUGCCAGCAGCCGCGGUAAUACGGAGGGGGUUAGCGUUGUUCGGAAUUACUGGGCGUAAAGCGUACGUAGGCGGAUUGGAAAGUUGGGGGUGAAAUCCCAGGGCUCAACCCUGGAACUGCCUCCAAAACUAUCAGUCUAGAGUUCGAGAGAGGUGAGUGGAAUUCCAAGUGUAGAGGUGAAAUUCGUAGAUAUUUGGAGGAACACCAGUGGCGAAGGCGGCUCACUGGCUCGAUACUGACGCUGAGGUACGAAAGUGUGGGGAGCAAACAGGAUUAGAUACCCUGGUAGUCCACACCGUAAACGAUGAAUGCCAGUCGUCGGGCAGUAUACUGUUCGGUGACACACCUAACGGAUUAAGCAUUCCGCCUGGGGAGUACGGUCGCAAGAUUAAAACUCAAA